UACGUAGGGUGCGAGCGUUGUCCGGAAUUAUUGGGCGUAAAGGGCUCGUAGGCGGUUUGUCGCGUCGGGAGUGAAAACCCAGGGCUUAACCCUGGGCUGGCUUCCGAUACGGGCAGACUAGAGGUAUGCAGGGGAGAACGGAAUUCCUGGUGUAGCGGUGAAAUGCGCAGAUAUCAGGAGGAACACCGGUGGCGAAGGCGGUUCUCUGGGCCGUAACUGACGCUGAGGAGCGAAAGCGUGGGGAGCGAACAGG
rnacentral:rRNA from 1 species